rnacentral:lncRNA from 1 species
GCCUUUUUUGUCAAUUGUUGGAACACUAGAUUCAAAACCCUAUAUUUGAUUAUUUGGGAACUAUCGAAUUUCAGAUUUGUAGUUGUCUGCUCUUCUUCCAAUUCUUUGACUGGAGAUUUCCAUUCAACAUUAGUUGUAGAGGUUUGACUAGUAGGGAAGUGGGAACAACGCGUAAUGAAAAUGGGUAUUUUAAGAGAUGUAUGGGUUUCUUCUUCACAACUACAAGCACAUAACAAACUUAUCACACAAGCAUUGUGACAGCUCAAGAAAUGAAGAAUAUUGCAGCGUUCGACAUAUUUGUAAUUUUUCUUAUUUUAUCAAUGGAUACAUUGUGUUUGCGAGGCGAAUCCAGGAUCUUAGAAUUAGAGUACUUGUUGUCGCCUGUCAAAUUCGAAGAGAAUAUGAGUCAUGUCCGAGGUCGCAGUAACAGGCAGCUGUUCAAACCCAAUCCUUCGCCUAUGGCAAAUGCUCGUAAGCAUCAGAUCGGAUCCAGCCCACCACCCAUCAUGAAAUAACUUCUUCUGAUUUUAUAGUGGUUUUAGUUUCAAAAUGUUCAAAAUUUUGAAAAUUUGUACAAUUGAAACAAAUGGUCUGAUGAUUUUAUAAGGCUCAUGGGAAAUUUUUUUCUCAAACUAUGUAUGGAUAUUAUUCGAGGCUUGUAAUUUUUAUGGCAAGUUGAUUGAUAUAUUUUAUUAAUACCAUUUAUUUUAUGAAUAAUUUUUGUUGUUUGUUUUUUCUUCCUGCAUACUGUUUAACCAAAAAAUAAAUUUUAAAUCAAAGCUAGAAUUUUAGAAAAAUACGGGUUACUGAUAAUUAAAAUAAAGUCUAUAAAGAAAGAAAUUUGAAAAUAAUAUGAUCAGAAAGCAA